GCCAGGCAUGGUGGCGCAUGCCUGUAAUCCCAGUCACUUAGGAGGCUAAGGCAGGAGGAUCGUGAAUUCAAAGCCAGCCUUAGCAGCUUAGGCAGUAAACAACUCAGCGAGACCCAGUCUCUA
rnacentral:sRNA from 1 species